UACGGAGGACGCGAGCGUUAUCCGGAUUUAUUGGGUUUAAAGGGUGCGUAGGCGGCUUUUUAAGUCAGCGGUGAAAUUUUGCAGCUUAACUGUAACAGUGCCGUUGAUACUGGGGAGCUAGGAUUUGGUUGCUGUGGGUGGAAUGUGUGGUGUAGCGGUGAAAUGCUUAGAGAUCACACAGAAUAUCGAUUGCGAAGGCAGCUCACAAAGCCAAGAUUGACGCUGAGGCACGAAAGUGUGGGGAUCAAACAGGAUUAGA
rnacentral:rRNA from 1 species